UUGUAAACACCAUCAAAAAGCACCAACAGAGGUGUGAUCUGGGGACAAUAUAAGAGCUGAAAGGAGUUUCCUCAGACUUAUGAAGAUGUAAGAGAAGGACAAAAGAAACGAAGGCUCAGAACUGCUGCAGUCUGUUGGAGCAGGAUCACAGGACGGUUUCCCCACAAUCCUGAGCCAGGGGUAAUUUUCCAGAGCGCGCACGCUCUCAAACGCGCACACAAACAUUCCCCGCACUUCUUCUCCAAUGCCACCAUUCCUUCCUGACACGCUCUCCUGUGCUCCCCUUCCAUACUAGGAAAGCUCUGUUCCCAUCAGACUCCCCGCGUUUACGUAUCACCUCAUCCUUCCAGUUGCGACUGUUGAGGCGCACGCUGGCCAGCAGCUGGAAGCGAGCCACGGCGCAUCACUGAAGCCUCAUGUGCAGUGGAAACAAACUGAGGUCUUAAUGUUGGGUACAAGAUGAUCUGGAGGAGGGUCAGAAUGUCAAACACAGACCAAGAUGGAGUGCAGAAUACAGAGAUCAGACCGGAGCAGCUGCUUUAAGAAGGUAGAAGAUUUGGGUAAGACAUGGGACUGAGGCAACUAUGCUGAUGUACAUCAAGUCAGUCAAAGACAGACGUGAGGAACAAUCGGUAGUUUUUCAAAAUAAAAUGUUGAUCACAAUCAAAAAAUAAAUUUAAAAAAGAAAAUUAUUUAGUCUUUGUAUGUGGACCGGUAAAAAGUGACUCACAAAGGAAUGCUGGUCUGGAGGCUACGGCAACCACUGACUCUGAAAAGGAAAAAAAAAAAGUUUACCAGCUGUGAUUUUCCUUGAACAGUGGGCCUUUGGGUGUACUUGUUAAAUGUGUUAGUAACUUAACCAUUGGUAACUUACAGUGAAUACCCCUUGUGCUAUC